UACGUAGGGUGCGAGCGUUAAUCGGAAUUACUGGGCGUAAAGCGUGCGCAGGCGGUUUUGUAAGCCAGAUGUGAAAUCCCCCGGGCUUAACCUGGGAAUGGCAUUUGGGACUGCAAGGCUGGAGUGCGGCAGAGGAGACGUGGAAUUCCUGGUGUAGCAGUGAAAUGCGUAGAUAUCAGGAGGAACACCGAUGGCGAAGGCAGGUCUCUGGGCUGACACUGACGCUCAUGCACGAA
rnacentral:rRNA from 1 species